rnacentral:lncRNA from 1 species
GGGGGAAUUCCUUGAUUAUGCUAAUACCGCCUAGAGAUAGGGGUAGGACGAUCAAUUGUAUUUUUCUUCUGUUUAUCAUGCAUUAUUGGUUACUAGGGAAGGCUAGAGAUAGCAAGCCAGUAAUUGGGAAUAGGCUCUUUUCGCCAAGAGAUUGAGUUUAUGAUGGAAUCCUGUCUCAUGUAGUCCUCUUUUUACAUUUUAUUGUAUUUGUAGUGUAGCUUGUAAGGAGCAUGGGUCACUAUUCACUUUUGAGAUUAAUGAGAAUUAGAUUUCUGA